rnacentral:sRNA from 2 species
GCGGAGAGUGGAGAUUGGAGAGCAAGAGCGCAGAGCAAGAGCUGGUGAGGGAUUAUGUAUGGAUCUGUGCUGUGCUGUGAAAUAAAUGUAUAUAUAUAUAUAUAUAUAGACAUAUCGAUGUAUACUGACUGACUAACUAAGGUCUAUACUAGUAUCGAUCGAUCGAGAGUUGGAGUUGGAGUUGGAGUUGCAUCAGAUAACGUGGAGUGCAAGGAUAAGCUAACUUAGUUCGAUUGGAUAUUUAAUAUGGUUUGUACAGUAUGUGUAUGUAUAGGUAUAUGUACAGCUAUAUUUUUGUCUAUGUUGUUAUCGCAAGUAGAGGGAAAAGCCGAAAAAAAUGAAAAAGGGGAACAAAGUAAAUAACGUGAAGAAGAAGAAGAAGAAGAAGAAGAAGAAGAAGAAGAAGAAGAAGACGAGAGAAUAGAAGAUAGGAUUUGCCAAAGGUUUAAAAGUUGGCAAGAUAUAAAAGCUCGAAAACGAAAGGACCCCUGCAGGACUAGGAACCAUGGCCAGGACCAGAAAUAGAUACUAUUCUAUCAACAGACAUCAAUAGAAAAAAGGAAAACACGAAAAAAAGUCGUUGCAAGAUUUAGGAACAGAACGGAGUGGAGAGAAAACGGGAAAAGAUUUCCAUCAGGGACCGAUGGAAUGCUCCCACGCCGUCGCGACAUCAUUCGUCAUCAUCACCGUCAUAAAAUGCAAAAAUGAUAGGAAAGAAAGCCUAAGAACAGAAUGAUAGUAAAAUAGAGUAUGAAACAGUCCCACAAUGUGGAAAAUGGAAAAAAAGAAAAAACUACACUUCUGGUUUUAUCAUGCAUGCAUGGACGCCAACAACGGAGAUGAUGGGGA